rnacentral:lncRNA from 2 species
GCCUUGUUCGGUUGGGCCGUUCCCGGCCGGGAUCGGGGCCCAAUCCCCGUGGAUCACCUCGGCAAGGAAAAAAUCCCGGCCCAUGUGAAAUUGUGCAUUCGGUUAAGCCCUGACGUGGAUUUUAGCCUGGCCCACCACGGGGUUUCCCUCUUCUCUAGGCCCGGGAAAAAAUCAUCUACUCCUGGGGCGUGGAAAAUUUCCUCGGCGGCGCAACGAAGACGCGACGGAGGGGGCGGCGCGCGGCGCGACCUGGAGGCGAUGGCGACAGCGACGGGAAGGCUCUCUCCUCCGGCCGCCACCUUCUCUCCGGUGAGCACGCUGCCUUUCCCCUUCUCCCCUCCUCUUGCAAAGCUAGGAGAUGGGAACACUGCAGCUGGUGACUGAAGCUCAUGGUGGCAUUAGCGCUAAGCUUAAACACUUGCAUUCAAUUUGUAGUUUAGCUCCUAGCUGGCUACUUCUAUUUAUUCUAAAAAAACAACUGAACUGUAACCAUUUUGAUUACUUUGUGACACUUUCAUGUAUGCAUUUGUGAACGUACAGCAUGCAUGUGUGUUUUCCCUGUACUUAAACAAUGUUUUUUUUACCGGAUUUGAUCUGAGAGAAUGCAUAUUGUU